rnacentral:rRNA from 1 species
UACGUAGGGGGCAAGCGUUGUCCGGAAUCAUUGGGCGUAAAGCGCGUGUAGGCGGUUCGGUAAGUCUGCUGUGAAAGUCCAGGGCUCAACCCUGGGAUGCCGGUGGAUACUGUCGGACUAGAGUACGGAAGAGGCGAGUGGAAUUCCCGGUGUAGCGGUGAAAUGCGCAGAUAUCGGGAGGAACACCAAUUGCGAAGGCAGCUCGCUGGGACGCCACUGACGCUGAGACGCGAAAGCGUGGGGAGCAAACAGG